rnacentral:snRNA from 1 species
GUGCUCACUUCAGCAGCACAUAUACUAAAACUAGAACAAUACAGAGAAGAUUAGCAUGGGGUCUAUGCAAGGAUGACACACAGAUUCAUGAAGCAUUCCAUAAAUUU